GACGAACGCUGGCGGCGUGCUUAACACAUGCAAGUCGUACGGUAAGGCCCUUUCGGGGGUACACGAGUGGCGAACGGGUGAGUAACACGUGAGUAACCUGCCCACAACUUUGGGAUAACGCUCGGAAACUGGUGCUAAUACUGGAUAUGUGCUCCUGCUGCAUGGUGGGGGGUGGAAAGCUCCGGCGGGUGUGGGUGGACUCGCGGCCUCUCAGCUUGUUGGUGGGGUAGUGGCGUACCAAGGCGGCGGCGUGGGGCCGGCGUGAGAGGGGGACCGGCCACAGUGGGUCUGAGAUACGGCCCAGACUCCUACGGGAGGCAGCAGUGGGGAAUAUUGCACAAUGGGCGAAAGCCUGAUGCAGCAACGCCGCGUGCGGGAUGACGGCCUUCGGGUUGUAAACCGCUUUCAGCAGGGACGAAGCUUUUUGUGACGGUACCUGCAGAAGAAGCACCGGCUAACUACGUG
rnacentral:rRNA from 1 species